rnacentral:tRNA from 3 species
GGGGGCGUAGCUCAGCUGGGAGAGCGCCACACUGGCAGUGUGGAGGUCAUCGGUUCGAUCCCGACCGUCUCCACCA